GCGGCCGCUUCUACAUGCAAGUCGAGGGGCAGCAUAAAGUACUUGUACUUUGAUGGCGACCGGCGAACGGGUGCGUAACGCGUAUGCAACUUACCUUUUACUAGAGAAUAGCCAAGAGAAAUUUUGAUUAAUGCUCUAUACUCUUUUUAACUCACAUGAGUUUUUAAGAAAAGCUCCGGCGGUAAAAGAUGGGCAUGCGUCCUAUUAGCUUGUAGGUGAGGUAACGGCUCACCUAAGCUCCGAUAGGUAGGGGUCCUGAGAGGGAGAUCCCCCACACUGGUACUGAGACACGGACCAGACUUCUACGGAAGGCAGCAGUAAGGAAUAUUGGACAAUGGAGGAAACUCUGAUCCAGCGAUGCCGCGUGAAGGAAGACGGCCCUAUGGGUUGUAAACUUCUUUUAUACAGGAAGAAACCUUUCCACGUGUGGAAAGCUGACGGUACUGUAAGAAUAAGGAUCGGCUAACUCCGUGCCAGCAGCCGCGGUAAUACGGAGGAUCCAAGCGUUAUCCGGAAUUAUUGGGUUUAAAGGGUCCGCAGGCUGUUUGUUAAGUCAGGGGUGAAAUCCUACCGCUCAACGGUAGAACUGCCUUUGAUACUGGCAAACUUGAGUUAUUGUGAAGUAGUUAGAAUGUGUAGUGUAGCGGUGAAAUGCAUAGAUAUUACACAGAAUACCAAUUGCGAAGGCAGAUUACUAACAAUUAACUGACGCUGAGGGACGAAAGCGUGGGUAGCGAACAGGAUUAGAUACCCUGGUAGUCCACGCCGUAAACGAUGGUCACUAGCUGUUCGAUGUACAUGGGUACAUUGAGUGGCUAAGCGAAAGUGAUAAGUGACCACCUGGGGAGUACGCUCGCA
rnacentral:rRNA from 1 species